CCCUUAGAUGUUCUGGGCCGCACGCGCGCUACACUGAUGCAGUCAACAAGUAUAUUAUCCUAGGUUGAAAAAUCUGGGUAAUCUUUUGAAACUGCAUCGUGCUGGGGCUUGACGAUUGCAAUUAUUUGUCACAAACGAGGAAUUCCUAGUAAACGCAAGUCAUCAUCUUGCAUUGAUUACGUCCCUGCCCUUUGUACACACCGCCCGUCGCUCCUACCGAUUGAAUGCUCAGGUGAGCCAUUCGGACUUUCAUCAUGCUGGUUUCCAGUUUUGAUGAAGGAAAGUCUUGCGAACCUUAUCAUUUAGAGGAAGGAGAAGUCGUAACA
rnacentral:rRNA from 1 species